rnacentral:rRNA from 1 species
AACCAUGGCCGUGGCGCAUUAAUACACCCAAUCCCUUGAUCUCGGAAGUUAAGCAACGUGCAGUCGGGUCAGUACUUGGAUGGGAGACCACCAAGAAAGACUGGAUGCUGUAGCCA